CCUACGGGUGGCAGCAGUGAGGAAUAUUGGUCAAUGGACGAGAGUCUGAACCAGCCAAGUAGCGUGAAGGAUGACUGCCCUAUGGGUUGUAAACUUCUUUUAUAUGGGAAUAAAAUGUUCCACGUGUGGGAUUUUGUAUGUACCAUAUGAAUAAAGAUAGGCUAACGCCGUGCCAUCAGCCGCGGUAAUACGGAGGAUCCGAGCGUUAUCUGGAUUUAUUGGGUUUAAAGGGACAGUAGGUGGAUUGUUAAGUCAGUUGUGAAAGUUUGUGGCUCAAACGUAAAAUUGCAGUUGAAACUGGCAGUCUUGAGUACAGUAGAGGUGGGCAGAAUUCGUGGUGUAGCGGUGAAAUGCUUAGAGAUCACGAAGAACUCCGAUUGCGAAGGCAGCUCACUGGACUGCAACUGACACUGAGGCUCGAAAGUGUGGGUAUCAAACAGGAUUAGAUACCCUGGUAGUC
rnacentral:rRNA from 1 species